GUCUACGGCCACGCCACCCUGAACGUGCCUGAUCUCAUUUGAUCUAGGAAGCUAAGCAGGGUCAGUCCUGGUUAGUGCUCAGAUGGGAGAUCACCUAGGAAUACCAGGUGCUGUAGGUG
rnacentral:rRNA from 1 species